GGUGAGAUGGCCGAGUUGGUUAUGGCGUCAGGUUAAGGUCCUGAUGGAGCAAUCCUCCUGGGUUCGAGUCCCAGUCUCAUCA